CCUACGGGAGGCAGCAGUGAGGAAUAUUGGUCAAUGGACGAGAGUCUGAACCAGCCAAGUAGCGUGAAGGAUGACUGCCCUAUGGGUUGUAAACUUCUUUUAUAUGGGAAUAAAAUGUUCCACGUGUGGGAUUUUGUAUGUACCAUAUGAAUAAGGAUCGGCUAACUCCGUGCCAGCAGCCGCGGUAAUACGGAGGAUCCGAGCGUUAUCCGGAUUUAUUGGGUUUAAAGGGAGCGUAGGUGGAUUGUUAAGUCAGUUGUGAAAGUUUGCGGCUCAACCGUAAAAUUGCAGUUGAAACUGGCAGUCUUGAGUACAGUAGAGGUGGGUGGAAUUCGUGGUGUAGCGGUGAAAUGCUUAGAUAGCACGAAGAACUCCGAUUGCGAAGGCAGUUCACUGGACUGCAACUGACACGGAGGCUCGAAAGUGUGGGUAUCAAACAGGAUUAGAUACCCUUGUAGUC
rnacentral:rRNA from 1 species